UCUGAUCUGCUCAUUAUUUUUCAGAUUAAUCUCUCCCUUCUACUAACCCACCCUUCCUAGAUCUCUCUUCUAAUUUACUCUUACAGUAAAUGUCUGUUCCACCGAGCUUCCCCCUUCACUCUCAAUUUCUAGGUCGUUUCAAACCGAUUAACAAUGUACUAUAACAAGAAUUUAAUAUGUAAAUUUUUAAAUCUAAGAUAUAGGGAGCAU
rnacentral:lncRNA from 1 species